rnacentral:RNase_P_RNA from 1 species
UGAGUUGGUUAGACAAUCGCUGGUUUAUUGAAGCCCUUAGUGUCGCAAGGCAAAGCCUGAAAUAGGUGAUAAGUGGGACAAGUAAACGAGAGGAAAGUCCGAGCUACAUAGGGCAGAGUGCCAGAUAACGUCUGGGGGGCGUGAGCCUACGACCAGUGCAACAGAGAGCAGACCGCCGAUGUACGUAAGUGCAGGUAAGGGUGAAAGGGUGUGGUAAGAGCACACCGCGUGGGUGGUAACAUUCCACGGCACGGUAAACUCCACUCGUAGCAAGACCAAAUAGGAACUCAAUCGGUGGCCCGCCGAGAGUUCGGGUAGGUUGCUUGAGCGUAUGUGUGAAUAUACGCCUAGAGGAAUGAUUGUCCAAGACAGAACUCGGCUUAUCGACCGACUCAUCUA